AACGCGAAGAACCUUACCAAGUCUUGACAUCCUUUGACCACCCUAGAGAUAGGGCUUUCCCUUCGGGGACAAAGUGACAGGUGGUGCAUGGUUGUCGUCAGCUCGUGUCGUGAGAUGUUGGGUUAAGUCCCGCAACGAGCGCAACCCCUAUUAUUAGUUGCCAGCAUUCAGUUGGGCACUCUAAUGAGACUGCCGGUGACAAACCGGAGGAAGGUGGGGAUGACGUCAAAUCAGCAUGCCCCUUAUGACUUGGGCUACACACGUGCUACAAUGGGUGGUACAACGAGUCGCAAACCCGCGAGGGCAAGCAAAUCUCUUAAAGCCAUUCUCAGUUCGGAUUGCAGGCUGCAACUCGCCUGCAUGAAGCCGGAAUCGCUAGUAAUCGUGGAUCAGCACGCCACGGUGAAUACGUUCCCGGGUC
rnacentral:rRNA from 1 species